GGAACUUGUACUCGUUGCGGAGCAACGUUAGUUAAAGA
rfam:Clostridium collagenovorans DSM 3089 genome assembly, contig: EJ35DRAFT_scaffold00008.8